AUUUUCAGUAAUUGUGAAAACAUGAAAUUCAGAAAGAUUACGUGCUUUUACAUUCUAGAAAGAAACAAUCAAUUGUCACGAAAAGCAAUUGAUUAUUAACUUUUUAAUUAACAUUCUCUACAAUUGGUUCUUAACAUGUCUAAUUUUCUAUAUUAUAUUCCAAAUAUUAUUAAGAAUUUUCAGGAAUAAGAUACAUAGAAGCAAUAAUUCAAACUUAUCAGUAAGAGAUUCUGUUCCCCUAGUAGGUCCUAGCAAAAUUCCUUAAAAAAACAAAAACAAACUGAAUAUAAUAAAUUGCUGGUACUUGGGGAAAUACGUCUUUCGCAUAAUCGCUACUUUUGGUAUACAACGGCUAUUAAAGUUUCCUUAAUCCAGCUAUGUCUUGUUAGCAAGAAAGAGAAAGAUUCUUAAAAACUGACCAUAGGUACGUGACAGGUACAGAUAAAUGAAUUUAUGAUAGCUGGUUUUCCCCAAGUUCCAGACUUUCUACGUUCGGUUCAGUUAGAUAUUCAACCGUUCGAAACAUUUUAGUAUAACCUCAACAUAUUUGUUGGAUAACUAAUCAACCUACAAAUACAAGCAGAAAGAUGAUAAUUGAAAUUAAAAAGAGGAGAAAUAAUCAAAUGAAUUGUUCAAGAUGAUGUUCAAAAGAGAAAAUUAUCGAUAUAUACCUAAAGUGAUGUGAGAUUAUUACUACACGAUAUUUGGCGAUAAAAGAGGUAUGUAAUGAAUAUUAUGUUAUGAGAGGUAAUAACGAUUAGAUGAAUUUUUUAUAGGUUAUAUUUAAUAGAAUAAUUUAAUAAAUAUAUGAAUAAUUAAUAGAUGCUUCGACGAACUUGUUAAGUGAUUAAUCAAUCUCAAUAGACAGAUUCAUUAAUUAGAUUAAAUGAUUAGAUAUGAAUUUUUGUAUAGGUUAUGUUUAACAGAAGGUUGCGAAAUUGUUGAAGAUAUUGUUAAAUUAUUUUCACGAUAUUUGGCAAGGGAAGAGAUAAAAAGUAGCGCGUUAUGGGAGUCAUGACGACGAUCAGGGUGGUCCUCUCUCACGGUUCGAGAAACCGCGUUCUGGAACCGAUGUAUACACGGUGCACGCGUCGUCAACGGGGACGUCUACGUCGCGUCGUGGAUGCCGCGCUGCCAGAAAGAAAGUCGACUCGAAAAUCAAACAAACAGCCGACGACGCCGCGUUUCUGCACUUCCGUCGUCGCCGUUUGUUUAUUGUCGCUGAGGGAUCGCUGCCCUGGUGAUCCGUGCACCGUUUAAUGCCGCGUUUCACACAUUAUGUAAUUCUUUCACGUGCCAGUUACAUCCAAAAUCAUUUGUUCUUUGAAUAAUCGCAGUUAUCUUCGAUAUUGUUAACAGUAUUAUCUUCUUUGGAUCAUCUUUUACUUAAUCCUGUUACUCUUCAUUAUUAUCAACGAAGAAAAUUAAUGAUAGUAAUGCUGAAUGAAGUUUGACAAGGAUGCAACAGAUUUCAUGAGAUUUGCCUCGUAUGUUAAAUUUUGAAUCUGUUUUUAGGAAGAUAACAUCGAUGGAAGAAUUCGAGAAGUAUGUAUUUUUAAAGAAGAUGGUAAAAAAGAGAAGAGAUUAGGCUGUAAAGAGAAGAAAUUGUGAAACGUCGAUUCUUUACAGCCUUGUAAGACGGACCUAAUGAAACGUAAUUCAUUCCCAUGCACCUUGAGGAGACAUCGUCUGGCGAACACAUGUCCCCAUUGGAUUUUAUCCAUUAGGAAAAAGUGCGCCCUUCGUCGCAUGACAUUGGCCGCCGUCGAACAUUGAAACUCGAACUCGCUAAUUCUCCAGAUGCUGGCUCGACUCAAAGGGUUAUUAAACAUAUUUUUAUGUUCGCGUCGAUGGAAAUAUUUAGACCCCCAGGGCGUCAUCUCAGCCUCAAGUGAGGCUAAAAUUAUAUAUUUUAAUUUAAUUAGAUAAUUUUCAAUUAAUGACUAAGUUUAGUAUAUAUAUAUAUAUAAUUAAUAUUAUAAUGAAUGUUAUACUGAUUGACUUGACAAUCUUACCAAAUAUUGAACAUGUCCUAGAAAUGAACAUUUAUUUAUCUUUCGUUCUUACUAAAUAUUUCUUCAAUAAUGUUUAUGUAUAGUAGUAACCUAUACAAUAUACUAUACUACAAUAUACCUAUUCUGUAAUAAGAAUUUGUUAAGAAAGAGAUUCAACGAUUCAAAAGCAUGUUCCUAUAAAUAGAUGAGUAUUAUUAAUAAUAUAACGAAGAAUAUUUAUGUAAUCUUUCGUCUAUUUAUUAAUGGAAUAUAAAUCUAAUUUUUAACAGAGUUGUCCUCCUACGGAGAAAAUGGAUAGCCGUCGGCUAGACAAAUUGAGGAAAACAGUUGUCUGAUAGUCACAUCUGUUCCCGGAUUAUGAGCACGAUAAAUUUCAGCCUGUGAAGCUAACAGCCGGAUUAGCGAGCGUUGUCGCGGUGUCAACGAGAGUUAAGUACAAGAAGUACGAUCUUUUGGGAACGUCGAUGUCGCAAGAAGAGCGGAAAUGAAAGAAAACAGCGGGCACUGUUCGCAAACACAGAAGCUCGUCAAGAGUCCCUGGACUUAUUGUCUUCGCUGUUCUGCCACGGCUACCUACCGUGCAUGUGCGGAUUCUACGACUUUUUUGAAUCGAACAAGAGGUCAGAGGUGACCACCAUGGACUCCGGAUUGAAUUUCCGAAUCAACGUCUUCGAGGAGGUAUUAGCCCCACGUGAAUACCGUGGUCCCCGAUGUCGAGGCCGUGAAUUGGAAAAAAAGGGCCUCACGGAUCGUUGUGGCCUGGUUGGGCCUCUGGAAUCCUCAGUGGGGGUCCCACGGAUGGGUUCUUUCGUUUUUCUCUCGAUCCCGGAGGAAUCAUUGUCGUUUCCUCUGCUCAACGCUUUCUUUCAACGUUUUCUCAUGCCUCCAGUCUUUUUCAUAUCGAGCAAGUAUUUCCUAACAUAAUUGAUUAACAAUUACUAUAAUCUACAUAUAUCUAAUACAGGGUGAACAAUAUAUAGCUGACUAAUUUCAAAAUCCCAUCACUCCGGAACGAUGUAUCAUUUUUUGUGCCGCACUAGAAAUUAUGUUAUGCAAAGUAAACAAAAAGCCAUCCAUCAAGGAUGUACACAGUUCUGAUGACAUCACACUUGAUAUAUGGGAAACAAAUAUGAAGUUGCACUACAAUUUUACGAAAGGAAUUUCUAUCUAAUAAAAGCAAUGGACAAUUGUAUAUAAUAUAUAUACAUAGAAUAGACUUCUAUUAUAGUGAAAAACUUUAAUAUACAAGUUACUAAAAUUUAUGGUGUAUCAAUCUUAAACUUUCUUUU